UGUGGUUGUGAAUGCAAGUGCUGAGAUUUCAGAGAGGGAGUUAAAUAAAAACCUGCACAACUCUGCCUACAAGGAACCAUCACAGGAAAUGUAAAGACUUGUCUGAGAAGUGGGGUUCCUUCGAAUGCAGCUCACAUGUACUCAGCAAAUGGGCCAAGUAAAGAGACAGAAUUACCUCCCCCUGCUGUUGCUCAGACUACACCUAUUAACAGGAUCGCCUGGUUCUGCAGAAAAUACACACAGCAACAAGUUUUGUCAUAUUAUCCUGAUAAAUCAGAUAUGAAUUAAGAUUUUAAGAGUUACUUUGCCAAAAUGGAGAAGGAAAUGAAUAUUCCUCAUCACUGCAGCUAAGGAAAUCAUGCACAGAUAUGGAAAAUUACUCUCUACUGGUGUUUUGAGGUCAGUGGCUCCUGUUCCACCCAACAGGAGACUGGCUCUUCCUACAGCUGGGAGCAGGACAGCUGCCCUACAGCUUUCCAAGAAGAAUGCAGAGGCUGCAGAGGGACUUCAGUUGACUGAAGUGGUUCAAGAAGUGCUGAAAGCAAAUCUUCCCCACGGCCCUCGUGUAAUCCACAGCAAGGUCAGAUUCCUCUGGAGUAACAAGGCUUGCAAACUGUCAGUAACAUGUAGACAGACUUAGCUAACACAGUUUAGAGAAAUUGCUGGUAAGUGAAAAGGUAUCAUUCAUCAGUCUGAGGGAAUAAUCCUCAUAUAAGACUAUAAAUCAUUUGGUU
rnacentral:lncRNA from 1 species